rnacentral:rRNA from 1 species
UACGAAGGGGGCUAGCGUUGUUCGGAAUUACUGGGCGUAAAGCGCACGCAGGCGGUUUGUUAAGUCAGAUGUGAAAUCCCCGAGCUUAACUUGGGAACUGCAUUUGAAACUGGCAAGCUAGAGUCUUGUAGAGGGGGGUAGAAUUCCAGGUGUAGCGGUGAAAUGCGUAGAGAUCUGGAGGAAUACCGGUGGCGAAGGCGGCCCCCUGGACAAAGACUGACGCUCAGGUGCGAAAGCGUGGGGAGCAAACAGG